GGGCCUGUAGCUCAGUUGGUUAGAGCAGCGGACUCAUAAUCCGCUGGCCGGGGGUUCAAGUCCCUCCGGGCCCA
rnacentral:tRNA from 2 species